UACAGAGGUCUCAAGCGUUGUUCGGAUUCAUUGGGCGUAAAGGGUGCGUAGGCGGCGCGGUAAGUCGGGUGUGAAAUCUCGGGGCUUAACUCCGAAACUGCAUUCGAUACUGCCGUGCUUGAGGACUGGAGAGGAGACUGGAAUUUACGGUGUAGCGGUGAAAUGCGUAGAUAUCGUAAGGAAGACCAGUGGCGAAGGCGGCAUCCUGGACCAACACUGACGCUGAGGAGCGAAAGCCAGGGGAGCAAACGGG
rnacentral:rRNA from 1 species